rnacentral:lncRNA from 1 species
GCCUAUACCCACUCUUCACUGAGUAUUCCCUAGAAGCGUCAUGCCACCAAACUAGCAAAUCAGAAGACCCACGCCCAGUAAUGGGGAUAUUGAGGAUACACCGAGCCUGCUCAAUAUCAAAAAGUCGAUAAAUAACCUCCUUUUUCAGGUACUCGACUCUUCAUUUAUGAGUUGAUCCACUGUGGUCUAGUGAAUAUCCAUGGAAUGAACUAACAGUCGACCAUUUCCAGGGCCCGGUAUCCAUGGAUCAUUCUAAAUAUUCACCUUCGCACCACUACCUAUCCGCCACAGUAGACCAUCAGCAAACACAUCCCUGGCACUACAAAUGCUCCUCCAGGUAAAAGAAGGGUAAGACCCCACUUUAGCUGAAAAAUAUCAGAUAAUGGAAAGUAACGGGCUUUAAAAACUUUUGAAAGAAGACAAUCGGGUUGAGUAAAAAUUUGCCAAACUUGCUUAGCUAAAAGGGCUUUGUUAAACAAAUAAAGAUCACGGAAGCCCAUCCCACCAUAAGUCUUUGGUAAACAAAGUGCACUCCACGUACUCCAAUGGAUACCUUUAGAUGUCUUGUUAUUGGCCAACCAAAACUUAUUCAAUAUUCCUUCAAGUUGAUGACAGAAGGUUUUAGGUAACUCAAAAUAUUGCAUAAUGUAGACUGGAAGAGCUUGAAGAACUGCCUUAAUAAAAACUUCUUUCGUACCUAAAACUCCAUCCAGCAAUACGCUUUCGAAAUCGAUCCGCAAAUUUGAAAAAGCCCAUAUCUUCUUCCUCCCCACCAUCAUUGGAAGACCCAAAUACUUAUCAGAUUCGAUGCCUAUCUAACACCCAAAAUGUCAAUAAUCUUAGAACAGACUACCUCUCCCACAUUCGCACCAAAAUAUAUUAAUGACUUUCCCAAAUUAAUUUUUUGCCCCGAGAGAUAUUGCGAACAGAGCAAGCACCCUCAACCGAAGCGUCACCAAAAAUGAUGCAAUCAUCAGCAAACAACAAGUGAGUUAUCGUAAAUUUCCUUCUACCAAUCGGAGCUCCCUUUAGCUCAUUUUUAACCUUAGCCUCCCUCAACAAACAAGAAAGCCCUUAAGCACAAAGGAGAAAAAGGUAGGGACUAAGAGGAUCAACUUGUCGUAAUCCUCUAGAUGGGCUAAAACUCUCACUAACAUCGCCAUUAAUGCCUAUCGUAUAAGUGACCGAACAGACACAACGCAUGAUAAGGACCAACUAAUCCUGAUGGAAACCCAAUCUAGACAACAUUCCAGCCAAGAAAUCCCAUUCCACCCGAUCAUAGGCUUUGCUAAGGUCAAUCUUAAGAGCAAAAUUCCCCUAUUUACCCUUUUUCUUCAUUUUUAGAGAGUGAAUAACCUCAUAGGCAAUAAGGGUAUUAUCUGAGAUUUGCCUUCUAGGGAUAAAAGCACCUUGGGCUUCAUCAACACAAGAGCCUAGAAAAGGACUCAUACGAACAACGAUAGCUGUAGCAAUGAUCUUAUAGAGAACAUUACAUAAGCUAAUAGGACGAAAUUGAGAAAGAUCCUUAGGCUUAUCAACCUUAGGGAUAAGAACAAUAUGAGUCUUGUUAAUCUCGCCCAUCUCCCUUCUACCAUUCAAAACCUCCAGACAGAAAUUAGCGACCUCGUCCCCAACAAUAUGCCAAAACUGCUGGAAAAAUAGAGUCGGAAAACCAUCAGAUCCUGGGGCCUUCAAUGGCGCCAUAGACUUAACUGCUAGCCAAAUGUCAUCCUUUGUGAAUGGUUGAAGAAGUUUUCCAUUCAUAGUCCUAGUAAUUCAUUUUUCAACAAGACCAAGUACUCGAUCAUCACCUCCCAAGGCAGAAGCUGUAAAAAAGUUCUCAAAAUACUUCACGGCAAUUAUCAACAUAUCCUCUGCACCCGUAACCCUUGGCCAGAAUCAUCCUCCAACCCCAGAAUUCGAUUGCGAUUGUGAUGGGCCACAGCCACCUUAUGAAAAAAGGAUGAAUUCCUAUCGCCAUACUGAAACCAGUUAAGACGAGCACGCUGAGCCCAAAAAACCUCCUCUUUAUCUACUUCAAAAUUCAACCCAAGUAUGGAUGAUAUUUAUAUAGUAUGUUUGAAUAUACAAUUAUAAUCUAGUAUAAAUUAAUGGAAUGAAAUAAAAGUAUAAAAUGUAUAUAAGUAUAGUUGAUAUUCGAGUAAGCAUGUAUAUAUCUAUAUAUGUAUAAAUGUUUUAUUGUAUUGAAUUUAGGCAAGAAAGUUAUGUAUAUGCAUAUGUUAGAUUCGAAUAUAUUUAUACAAAAGCAUGAACAAGUUUUGAAUCUAGACAAGGGUAUAUGUAUAUGUAUAUGUAUAUGUAUAUGUAUAUGUAUAUGUAUAUGUCUAUGUCUAUGUCUAUGUAUAUGUAUAUGUAUAUGUAUAUGUAUAUGUCUAUGUCUAUGUAUAUGUAUAUGUAUAUGUAUAUGUAUAUGUAUAUAAAAUUCGAAUAUAUAUAUAAAUUCUUGAAUUUAGUUAAGGUAUGAAUGUUGAAUAUAUAUAUAAAUUCAUGGUUUAAAUCAAAGGUGUUUAUAACUUGUACAUAUAUAUGGUUCGAAUAUAUAUAUAUAUAUAUAUAUAUAUAUAUAUACACACAUGUGUAGAUUUUUGAAUUUGAUUUAAGAUAUGUAAUUCAUGAGUUUAUACGUAGUAUCGAAUAGGUAUGUAUAAAUGUGGGAUUGAAAUUUAUAUGUAUAUACUAUAUUCGAUUGAGCAUGUUUACAUAUAUGUAUAAGUGCUUAUUUGAAUUUAGGUAUGAUAUUUGUGUAAGUUUAUAUGAGGUUCGAUUAAGUAGGUAUAUGUGUAUGUGUGCUUAUAAUGAAUUUAAGUAUGGAAUUAUACAUAUGAUUUUGAGUAAGUUUCGAUUAUGUGCGUUUAUUCAUGUAAAAAUUCUUGAAUGAAAGUGAAGAUAUGAGAUUAUUAGUUUGGAUGACUAUUAAAGUGAGCGAAUACAAUACAGACUUUACGUCUAACAGGCUUGAUGCCGGUGAUAUAAUUCAGACUAUACGUCUAGCAGGCUUCAUGCCAGUGAAACUAAUCGGACUAUAAGUCUAGCAGGCUAAAAGCCGGUGUACUGAAUCAAGUUUUAAAACCUAGCAGGCUAAAUGCCGGUAAAUUUUUUUAUAUUAUUUGUUUAAAUAUAUUGAAUGCGUACGUGAUAUAUAUAUAUCAUACAUGUCCGAGGAACAUGUAUAUACAUUUGGUUAAUGAAUUUGAUGAGCAUAUAAAUAUUCGUUAUUAUGUAUUUGAAGAGUAUAUAUAUUUUUUAUAUAUUCGGUUUAUUGCACUUGUUAUAUAUAUAUAUUUAUUUGGUGACAUGCAUAUUGGUAAGUGUAAUUAUUUCUGAAUAUAUGUAUUUGAUGUAUAUGUAUACUCAUUCGGUUAUGAUAAUUUGUUAAGUACAUAUAGAUAUAUAUAUGCGUUCGGUUUUAAACUUUGAUGUUUAUGUAUGCAUGUGACUAUAUGCAAUUAAAAUGUAAAUGUAUUUGGUUGUGUAUAUAUUUUUAUUUAUAUAUAUAUAUUUAUAUAUAUUUAUAUAUAUGUAUACAGUGAUUCGCAUUCUGAGUAUUCAUAUAUUGUCUAUAAAUAAGAUGAGUACGAAUAGCAGCUAAUCAAAUGAUAAUAUAUGCAUGUGGUGUUUGCAAAAUCAAUAGGUGUACCAAGAACUUUUAUAAUUGUUUUUAUAUAUAUUUUGUUAAGCUAUCGAUUUACUAAGCUAUAAUAGCUUACCUUGUUUGUGUAUGUUUCUUUGUUUUAUAAAUUUAAAGAUCAAAAUUUAAGCUCAGGGAUCGUCAGCAAGAUCAUCACUCUAUCUACUGUCUCGGUAUUAAAAUGUUCAAAUUUUAACUUAUGGCAUGUAUAGGCUAGAUAAUGUUUUUAAGGUUGUAUUUUGUAAUAGUGUAAGUGAACAUAUAAUAGUUUACUUUAUUAUGGAUUUGCUAUUAUGUAACUGUUAAAAUUAUUGAACCUUAGUGAAUGUCUGUUCUGAUAUGUAUUAUGCUUUGUAAUGCCUUUUAACCCUAAUUUGGCGACGAAUAUGGGUUAAGGGUGUUACAGGAUGUUACAGCACAUAAACACUUAACAAAAAUUUAAAACAAUUAGCGUAUAACCCUUUUUCAACAUACUUCUUAUUAUUUUAUUAAGUGUCUUCAGAAAAAAAGAAAUAAAGAAAAUAUCUAAGAAUACAUCAUACUUUUAAAAGUAAUAUAAGACAUUACAACUUAAUAGUUUGAUAAAGUUAAACUCUACAUGGCAUAGAGUACUAAACACAAUGGCCCUAUAGUGCCCUCUAUAUGCAUAAAAUCGUAACUUAAAUAGAUAACUUGGCACAAUCCUAGUUUGGUCCCUCCUACUCAAAUCAGAACCUACAACAAGACAAACACUUGUAAGUUCAAAUGAACUUAGUGAGUUUUGAUUAGAUUACCUUAAAGCAUUUGUUGUUGAUUUCCUUAUUCUGAAUAUUUUGGAUUUCCUUUCUAUCUUCGGCGGAUACCUUUCCAAUGUCAGCGCAUACUUAUACGCCAACUUCAGACUUGAUCAUCUUACACACAAUACACUUUAUAGGCAGAUUACAGAAUUCACUACUUAUUACGGGUUUUAUAUCCUUUAUAGUAAGCAAAUGCAUUUCAGAUAAAAAUACCCAUACAAAACUUACCUUCUGCAAAUUUCACUCCAACGGCCGUUAAAUAUUUAAUCCAGAAUAGUGUUGUAAUGACCCAAAAUUCACGGGCAUCAGAAAAAGUGCAAUAUUAGGCCUCCGUCUUAGUGAAAUGGGUUCGUAAUUAAUUAUUAAAAAUAUUUAUGAGACUAGUGGUGUGUCUAAUUAGGUUCUAAUUAGGUGAAUUUAGCCUAAUUAAGAGUAAUUAGGGAAAAUGACUAAAGUGAAUAAAGGGUAAAAGCUGAAUUGUAGAUUAAAAGAAAAUAAAAAGGACCAAAAUGGCAAAUAAGCCAUUUAGCAUAAGUUGAGGGGGCAAAGAAAAUCUAAGAUUUUUGUUUGUUUAAUUAAUUUGGCACCAAAUGUAAUAUUCCUAUAUUAGGUUCCUUGAGUCGAAUAUGGUAUAGGGUAUUACAUUUAGUGGUAUCAGAGCCUAGAUUUUCUGAUUACUAGGAAAAGAACGAGUCUAGAAGUACAUGCCAUAUAGGAUUAUAUCGAUGUGAUGAGAUGCGAUGUCAAUACUAGAAGCAUUGAUAAGUUUGAAAAUAUGAAUUAUUACUAAUAAGGAAAUGAUUUUUGAAUUAGUUAGAAAUGACUUAAGAGGGAAAUAGAUAAAUACUGAAAUUUGAUAAAAACUUAUUUUCUGUCAUAGAUAUUGGAAGAAAUGGCAAUAAAUUUGAUAUUGCCUGAUGAGAUAACAACUUCAGCAUAGAGAGAGAAAGUUGAUAAGAUGAUGAGAGAAGUGCGGGAUUAUAGAAUGAAACCAGAAGAAGACUUAGUUCAGCACUUUAUUACUGUAAAUCGAAAGAUGCAAGAAGUGUUAUGGAAGGGUCACAAACUGAUUAGAAAGAAU